GAUGAACGCUGGCUACAGGCUUAACACAUGCCAGUCGAGGGGAAACGACGGGGAAGCUUGCUUCCCCGGGCGUCGACCGGCGCACGGGUGAGUAACGCGUAUCCAACCUGCCUCUGACUGAGGGAUAACCCGUCGAAAGUCGGCCUAAUACCUCAUGGUAUCGUCUGCGGGCAUCCAACGACGAUUAAAGAUUUCAUCGGUCAGGGAUGGGGAUGCGUCUGAUUAGCUUGUUGGCGGGGUAACGGCCCACCAAGGCUACGAUCAGUAGGGGUUCUGAGAGGAAGGUCCCCCACAUUGGAACUGAGACACGGUCCAAACUCCUACGGGAGGCAGCAGUGAGGAAUAUUGGUCAAUGGGCGAGAGCCUGAACCAGCCAAGUAGCGUGCAGGAAGACGGCCCUAUGGGUGGUAAACUGCUUUUAUGCGGGGAUAAAGUGAGGGACGUGUCCCUCAUUGCAGGUACCGCAUGAAUAAGGACCGGCUAAUUCCGUG
rnacentral:rRNA from 1 species